UACGUAGGGGGCAAGCGUUGUCCGGAUUUAUUGGGCGUAAAGAGCGUGUAGGCGGCCACACAGGUCAGCUGUGAAAACUCGAGGCUCAACCUCGAGACGUCGGUUGAAACCGUAUGGCUAGAGUCCGGAAGAGGAGAGUGGAAUUCCCGGUGUAGCGGUGAAAUGCGCAGAUAUCGGGAAGAACACCGGUGGCGAAGGCGGGUCUCUGGGCCGAUACUGACGCUGAGGAGCGAAAGCGUGGGGAGCAAACAGG
rnacentral:rRNA from 1 species